rnacentral:rRNA from 1 species
UGAUUGCGCAGCUACCAUGCAAGUCGAGCGGCAGCACAAGGGAGUUUACUCCUGAGGUGGCGAGCGGCGGACGGGUGAGUAAUGCCUAGGGAUCUGCCCAGAUCGAGGGGGAUAACAGUUGGAAACGACUGCUAAUACCGCAUACGCCCUACGGGGGAAAGAGGGGGACUUUCGGGCCUCUCGCGAUUGGAUGAACCUAGGUGGGAUUAGCUAGUUGGUGAGGUAAUGGCUCACCAAGGCGACGAUCCCUAGCUGUUCUGAGAGGAUGAUCAGCCACACUGGGACUGAGACACGGCCCAGACUCCUACGGGAGGCAGCAGUGGGGAAUAUUGCACAAUGGGGGAAACCCUGAUGCAGCCAUGCCGCGUGUGUGAAGAAGGCCUUCGGGUUGUAAAGCACUUUCAGUAAGGAGGAAAGGUUGUAAGUUAAUACCUUGCAGCUGUGACGUUACCUACAGAAGAAGGACCGGCUAACUCCGUGCCAGCAGCCGCGGUAAUACGGAGGGUCCAAGCGUUAAUCGGAAUUACUGGGCGUAAAGCGUGCGCAGGCGGUUUGUUAAGCGAGAUGUGAAAGCCCCGGGCUCAACCUGGGAACUGCAUUUCGAACUGGCAAACUAGAGUCUUGUAGAGGGGGGUAGAAUUCCAGGUGUAGCGGUGAAAUGCGUAGAGAUCUGGAGGAAUACCGGUGGCGAAGGCGGCCCCCUGGACAAAGACUGACGCUCAGUACGAAAGCGUGGGGAGCAAACAGGAUUAGAUACCCUGGUAGUCCACGCCGUAAACGAUGUCUACUCGGAGUUUGGUGUCUUGAAGACUGGGCUCUCGAGCUAACGCAUUAAGUCGACCGCCUGGGGAGUACGGCCGCAAGGUUAAAACUCAAAUGAUUGACGGGGCCCGCACAGCGGUGGAGCAUGUGGUUUAUUCGAUGCACGCGAGACUUACCUACUCUUGACAUCAGAGACUCGCUAGAGAUAGCUAGUGCUUCGGACUCUGAGACAGUGCUGCAUGCUGUCGUCAGCUCUGUGUGAUGUGGGUAGUCCGCACGAGCGCACCCUAUCUUAGUUGC